rnacentral:misc_RNA from 1 species
UGACACUGCUCCCAUCUCCUCCUUCAACAUUCUCAGCACCCGAAAUUAUACUUCAACACAAGGUCCUCCCCUUACCUGAUUGAAGACCCAAUCUCUUCUCACUCCCUCAACAAUCGAUUGGACAUAACUCCAACCACCGCAGUCCCUCCAUUGAAAACCUACUGGCCACAAUCGUCUCCUUUAUUGAACUUGUACUGCAUCAAUCUAGCAUCAUCACCUAGUCCAAA